AAAGGCUUUCAAUUUAGCAAUCUAGACAAUUAACAGUAUUUCUACCAAAAAGCAUUAGUGGAAACUACCAAGCUAGAGUAUGGUAGGGGCAGAGGGAAUUUCCGGUGGAGCGGUGAAAUGCGUAGAGAUCGGAAAGAACACCAACGAUGAAAGCACUCUGUUGGGCCGACACUGACACUGAGAGACGAAAGCUAGGGGAGCGAAUGGGAUUAGAUACCCCAGUAGUCCUAGUCGUAAACGAUGGAUACUAGGCGCUGUGCGUAUCGACCCGUGCAAUGUUGUAGCUAACGUGUUAAGUAUCGC
rnacentral:ncRNA from 1 species